AUUGAACGCUGGCGGCAGGCCUAACACAUGCAAGUCGAGCGAGCGACGGACGGGUGAGUAAUGUAUGGGGACUGCCCGAUAGAGGGGGAUAACUACUGGAAACGGUGGCUAAUACAGCAUACUGUCGGAUAACCCAUAUGGGAUUAGCUAGUGGGUAAGGUAAUGGCUUAGCUAGGCGACGAUCCCUAGCUGGUGUGAGAGGAUGAGCAGCCACACUGUGACUGAGACACGGCCCAUACUACCUGGGAGGCAGCAGUGGGGAAAGUUGCAUAAGGGGCGCAAGCCUUAUGCAGCCAUGCCUCGUGUAGGAAGAAGGCCUGAGUGUUGUAAUGGACUUCCAGUCUGGAGGCGGUAUCGACAGAAGAAGCACCGGCUAACUCCGUGCCAGCAGCCGCGGUAAUAC
rnacentral:rRNA from 1 species